rnacentral:rRNA from 1 species
AUUGAACGCUGGCGGCAUGCUUUACACAUGCAAGUCGAACGGCAGCGCGGGCUUCGGCCUGGCGGCGAGUGGCGAACGGGUGAGUAAUACAUCGGAACGUGUCCAGUAGUGGGGGAUAGCUCGGCGAAAGCCGGAUUAAUACCGCAUACGACCUGAGGGUGAAAGCGGGGGAUCUUCGGACCUCGCGCUAUUGGAGCGGCCGAUGGCAGAUUAGCUAGUUGGUGGGGUAAAGGCCUACCAAGGCGACGAUCUGUAGCUGGUCUGAGAGGACGACCAGCCACACUGGGACUGAGACACGGCCCAGACUCCUACGGGAGGCAGCAGUGGGGAAUUUUGGACAAUGGGCGAAAGCCUGAUCCAGCAAUGCCGCGUGUGUGAUGAAGGCCUUCGGGUUGUAAAGCACUUUUGGCGGGAACGAAAAGGACUGUGCAAAUACCACGGUUCGAUGACGGUACCCGCAGAAUAAGCACCGGCUAACUACGUG